rnacentral:rRNA from 1 species
CGGGUGAGUAACGCGUGAGGAACCUGCCUCAAAGAGGGGGACAACAGUUGGAAACGACUGCUAAUACCGCAUAAGCCCACGGCUCGGCAUCGAGCAGAGGGAAAAGGAGCAAUCCGCUUUGAGAUGGCCUCGCGUCCGAUUAGCUAGUUGGUGAGGUAAUGGCCCACCAAGGCGACGAUCGGUAGCCGACCUGAGAGGGUGACCGGCCACAUUGGGACUGAGACACGGCCCAA